CAUGUCAUUACUAUACUCAUGCCAUAACAUGUAAUCACUAUACAUCACUAUACUCCUGCCAUGACAUGUAAUUACUAUACUCCUGCCAUGACAUGUCAUCACUAUACUCCUGCCAUGACAUGUAAUCACUAUACUCCUGCCAUGACAUGUAAUUACUAUACUCCUGCCAUGAAAUGGUAAUCACUAUACUCCUGGCCAUGAAAUGUAAAUUAACUAUCUCUGCCAUGACAUGUAAUUACUAUACCAGCCAUGACAUGUCAUUACUACUCCACGCCAUGACAUGUCCAUUACUAUACUCCAGCCAUGACAUGUCAUCACUAUACUCCUGCCAUGACAUGUCAUUACUAUACUCCUGCCAUGACAUGUCAUUACUAUACUCCUGCCAUGACAUGUAAUCACUAUACUCCUGCCAUGAAAUGUCAUUACUAACCCAGCCAUGACAUGUAAUCACUAUACUCCUGCCAUGAAAUGUCAUACAUCUCCGCAUGACAUGUAAUCACUAUACC
rnacentral:lncRNA from 1 species